GGGGAAUAUUGGACAAUGGGCGAAAGCCUGAUCCAGCAAUGCCGCGUGAGUGAAGAAGGUCUUCGGAUUGUAAAGCUCUUUCGACGGGGACGAUGAUGACGGUACCCGUAGAAGAAGCCCCGGCUAACUUCGUGCCAGCAGCCGCGGUAAUACGAAGGGGGCUAGCGUUGCUCGGAAUGACUGGGCGUAAAGGGCGCGUAGGCGGUUUGGACCGUCAGAUGUGAAAUUCCCGGGCCCAACCUGGGGGCUGCAUUUGAUACGUCCAGACCAGAGUGAGGAAGAGGGUUGUGGAAUUCCCAGUGUAGAGGUGAAAUUCGUAGAUAUUGGGAAGAACACCGGUGGCGAAGGCGGCAACCUGGUCCUUGACUGACGCUGAGGCGCGAAAGCGUGGGGAGCAAAC
rnacentral:rRNA from 1 species